UCAGGGGCACUGUCAGGAGGAGUCUGGGGAGGACACCUCCAGUGUGGCUUUAGGUGCUGCCUGGAGAAAGGGUUUGGAUUUAGAAUCAAAGAAUUCCCAUUGUUUAGGCCCUGCUUUAUCCAAGCAACUGGAACUUUUUAUGUCCCUUUGCAGAUGAGCAGAAUUUCCUUAAAGGAACGAGAUGGCCCCCGACUGGAGCAAACAGCCAGCCCUGCUUUUUCUUCUGGUUGUCCCUGUUCAGGAGGGACUUGUAUCAGAAACAGCAGUGUCAUUUCUGCUCGUCAGCCACCCCAGUGAGUGAGUUCUCAUCAGCUCAAGUGACAGCAAACACAGGUGCUUCUCUGCUUUUUCUGUGGAGGCCGUGCGAGUUAAGCAGCCAUCUCCCACGAAUAACGUCCAGGGCCAGGUCACAAACUUCCCAGAGCAGGGGACCCGUUUGCGUACAAUCCAAGCAAUUAGGAACAACGAACAGUACUUAGUAAAACCAAACAAAACCAAAAGAACCACUCCUGCUGCCGUCAACGCUCCGGCGGGAGGGAGGGGGGGGAAAAGAAAAGGUUAAGAAAAAAAGUUUGUUUGUUGGUUGGUUUGUUUGUUUGUUUAAAGAAGU